rnacentral:rRNA from 1 species
UACGAAGGGGGCUAGCGUUGUUCGGAAUUACUGGGCGUAAAGCGCACGUAGGCGGAUAUUUAAGUCAGGGGUGAAAUCCCGGGGCUCAACCCCGGAACUGCCUUUGAUACUGGGUAUCUCGAGUCCGAGAGAGGUGAGUGGAAUUCCGAGUGUAGAGGUGAAAUUCGUAGAUAUUCGGAGGAACACCAGUGGCGAAGGCGGCUCACUGGCUCGGUACUGACGCUGAGGUGCGAAAGCGUGGGGAUCAAACAGGG